rnacentral:rRNA from 1 species
CAGUAGCCGCGGUAAAACGUAGGUGGCAAGCGUUGUCCGGAAUUAUUGGGCGUAAAGGGCUCGCAGGCGGUUUCUUAAGUCUGAUGUGAAAGCCCCCGGCUCAACCGGGGAGGGUCAUUGGAAACUGGGAAACUUGAGUGCAGAAGAGGAGAGUGGAAUUCCACGUGUAGCGGUGAAAUGCGUAGAGAUGUGGAGGAACACCAGUGGCGAAGGCGACUCUCUGGUCUGUGACUGACGCUGAGGAGCGAAAGCGUGGGGAGCGAACAGGAUUAGAUACCCCUGUAGUCCCUGUCUCUUAUAC